rnacentral:rRNA from 1 species
UACGUAGGGUGCGAGCGUUGUCCGGAUUUAUUGGGCGUAAAGAGCUUGUAGGCGGCUCGUCACGUCGGGUGUGAAAACUCGCGGCUCAACCGUGAGCCUGCAUUCGAUACGGGUGGGCUAGAGUUCGGCAGGGGAGACUGGAAUUCCUGGUGUAGCGGUGGAAUGCGCAGAUAUCAGGAGGAACACCGGUGGCGAAGGCGGGUCUCUGGGCCGAUACUGACGCUGAGAAGCGAAAGCGUGGGGAGCGAACAGG